rnacentral:rRNA from 1 species
AUGGCCUACAAGAACUGUUGUAAAUGUUCCAUUCCAGACUAUUGGCAACAAGUGUCUCAGGGCUUCAGGAAGUUCUUGAGAGGGUGGAAGGCAAAUGAUGCUACUGACAAUAGAAGAAGUAAAUCCAAUCCCUGCUUUAGCCUUGCUGCUUAUUCACUGGCAAUCCAACCAUACCAUUCUUGUCUAUCAGGAUCAGUUUUUCCCUCAAGUCACCUUAACAUGCUUCUUUCUUUCCUUCACUAUGCAGAUACAAAACUAGGUUGCGGACGCAUAAAGCCACUGAUACUAUUGGUCAGAAGUAUGAUUUGA